CAAGGUGAACAGCCUCUGGUCGAUGGAA
rnacentral:snRNA from 1 species